CCAGCUAGCGGUCCCUUUCCGUCACUGUAUAGAUGUGUUUGUGUGCCACUGCACCGCAAAACCCAGAGACUGCUAGAACUGUUCAAGGAUGUGCUAGAGGCGUGCGAUUUCGUUUUCUGGGACGUAAGUGGAGAAAGCCUCGACACACUGAAUUUGUAUGGCAGAAGCGAUAGAAGUGAAAAGGAGUGACUAAUACGGAUGCCCCUGAAGGAGGGUGCGGCAACCCGGUCGAGAGCCGAUGUGUCGGCAACGAGGCAAAACGAGCAAGUACAGCGAACUGCUUCAUUUACGUCUGUUUUCCAUGGUUGGCGACUAUAUUUUAUGAGCGCUCGACCGAAUCAUGUUGCGACCGCUACGCGCGUUCGGCGAGACCGUCAAAAAAGCGAAAUACUGGUGUAGCAGAUCAACCUUAGACUGAAUGACCGCAGGAUACUCCAUUAAAUUCGUCCCUGUUGUGCCCCAAUGAGGAUCCGCACCGAAGUUCCCACAGGGUUUUGUGUCGUUACUACGCAAUCUGGUGACACACCACAUGGCCACCAGGACCGGAAGACGGACCGUCGGUGACAGGACGAGAGAGACGUCGUGCGGCCGAGCCUGUGAAACAGGAGUCUUGAUCGGGUGGAUCCUUUAGCGGCUGAAAUUCACGAUGAGCAUGAGAGUGGGAAGGCGUGAAAUUUCUUUGAUGGCACCAGCGAGAAGUUUCUUGGCCGCAGCGAACGCUAGACCUGAUUCCACCCGUGGCUUCUUGCUUGAUCGGUUAAAGGUCUUCGCUGUGAGUCACUCCCCAACUGCACGCAAGAAGUCUAUGGUGAACACAAGGCUUUCAUUGCCAGAGGCGUAUUGGACUAGAGUGUUAAAAACCUG
rnacentral:lncRNA from 1 species